CAGUCGCCGCGGUAAUACGGAGGGGGCUAGCGUUGUUCGGAAUUACUGGGCGUAAAGCGCACGUAGGCGGCUUGGUAAGUUAGAGGUGAAAGCCUGGAGCUCAACUCCAGAAUUGCCUUUAAGACUGCCGAGCUAGCAGGUGAGAGAGGUAAGUGGAAUUCCGAGUGUAGAGGUGAAAUUCAUAGAUAUUCGGAAGAACACCAGUGGCGAAGGCGGCUUACUGGCUCAUACUGGACGCUGAGGUGCAAAAGCGUGGGGAGCAAACAGGAUUAGAGACCCCUGUAGUCCCUGUCUCUUAUAA
rnacentral:rRNA from 1 species